ACUUGUGAUGCAAGACAGAGGCAGGACUGAGAAGACGAGAGGUGGGCUUCGUUCCUGAGAAUAUCCAGGAGUCCAAGAGAUCUAAAUUGGAAGAUGGCCUUCCAAUUUAGGUCAGUUUCCAAUUAAGAAGGCCAGGUUUUUAUGAAGCAAUAUUUGUCAAGGUAAGAGUAUGAUAUGGUUUGGAUGUUUGUCCCCUCCAAAUCUCAUGUUGAAAUGUGAUUCCCAAUGUUGGAGGUGGGGUUUGGUUGGAGGCAUUGAAUCAUGGGAGUAGAUCCCUCAUGAAUGGUUUAGCACCAUCUCCUUGGAUGUAAGUGAGUUCUCACCUCAGUUAGUUCAUGUGAAAUCUGGUUGCUUAAAAGAGUCUGGGAACGCCCCCUUCUCUCUCUCUUGCUCCCACUCUUGCUAUGUGACAUGCUGGCUCCCCUUAGCCUUCUGCCACGAUUGCAACCCUCCUGAGGCCUCACCAGAAGCAGAUGCUGGCACUAUGCUUUGUGUACAGCCUGCGGAAUCAUGAACCAAAACAACCCUUUCCUUAUAAAUUACCCAGUCUCAGGUAUUUCUUUACAGCAAUGCAAAAACAGACUAACAUAGAGUAUAUGAGAUAUUUUGCUCAAAAUUUUUUUGUUUGAUUUGCUAAGUAUUCAGACCUAUGGAAUAUGAGUCUCCACCUAUAAUUUUGCCCUGAUCCCUAAAAAAUGUUGGAGGCAGAUCCUGCAAGCAGAAGAGCAUUUGAAUUCUAAACUACUUAAACAGCUUCAUAAGCUUAAGCAAACACCUUCUAUAGUUUUAUUCUUCAUCAUCUUUAAAAUAUGGACAAUCAAUAAUAGUAUUGGCUCCUUAGGUAUAAUGGUAGAUGUGGAGUGUUCAGCUUAGUGUUUAGAGCAUUUAGUGUCUUCUUCUCCAACCAUGAGCAAUGAUCAAUCUUGCUUUUCAUGGGUUUAAUGCUGAUUCUUGUUGCCUUGUGACAUUUGAUUGAAAUUAUAUAUAGAAGAAGGUGAAGCUGACUUGACUGAGAGUGGAUGGAUCACUUCUGAGCUGCAGAAAGAAUGUUAACUGAUGCACAGUCAUAACCUGGAGUUAACUGAACAUGUCUUCAUCUAUGACCUAGUGUAGGACCAGAGUGAGUGACACAGCCACAUCCAGCAUCAUGACCAGAUAGAUGAUGGACCAACAAUAUCCAUCAGGGUGGAUAGAAUUCCCUUCCUAUUCCUGGGAGAAAGGAAAGCACCUAAAGAAGCAGUGAAAGGCAUGGGAAAUUCUUUCUUGUCCUCUGGGUCUGAAGUCCUAUGACUUCUGUCAGACUUUGCAUAUCUCCUUGUCUUCCUAAGUGGGGAAUGUGGGAGAUCCUAAAGCCUAAGACCCAAGAAUAACAAAGUAGAGGGAAAAUGUUCUUAGUGAGAUGGGAGUUCCAUGAAAUGUCCAAAAGGAGAGGAAAAAGUAGAAUUAAGGAAAGCAAGAGAGGGAGUCAGGGGAAUGUAGCAUCCAUUGGGCUACAUUGAAGAAAGUUGGAGGUUGUAUUAGUCCAUUUUCAUACUGCUAUGAAGAAAUACCCGAGACUGGGUAAUUUAUCAAGAAAAAGAGGUUUAAUGGACUCACAGUUCCACAUAGCUGGGGAGGCCUCACAAUCAUGGCAGAAAGUGAAGGAGGUGCAAAGGCACGUCUUCCAUGGCAGCAAGCAAGCGAGUGUGUGCAGGGGAACUGCCCUUUAUAAAACCAUCAGAUCUCAUGAGACUUAUUCACUAUCACCAGAACAACACAGGAAAACCCACCCCCAUGAUUCAAUUACCUCCCAUCGGAUCCCUCCCACAACACGUGGAGAUUAUGGGAGCUACAAUUCAAGAUGAGAUUUGGGUGAGGACGCAGCCAAACCAUAUCAGAGGACACCGAGUUUGAGGAAACGUACAGAAGGAAGAGAAGUCACUGGAAUCUGAAAAACAGGAUGGAAAGAAUAAAAGCUGUGCUAAGGUUGGAGUGCAAUGGCAUGAUCUCGGCUCACUGCAACCUCCGCCUCCCGAGUUCAAGGGAUCUCCUGCCUCAGCCUCCUGAGUGGCUGGGAUUACAAGCACCCGCCACCACGCCCAGCUAAUUUUUGUAUUUUUAGUAGAGACGGGGUUUUGCCAUGUUGGCCAGGCUGGUCUGGAACACCUGACCUCGUGAUCCACCCACCUCGGCCUCCCAAAGUGCUGGGAUUACAGGCGUGAGCCACCGUGCCCGGCCAAGGUAUACUUAUAAGAUACAAAUAGACAAUAAAAAGGUUAUUAUAGUGAAACGAAUUAAGAUAUCCAUCAUCUCACAUAAUUACCCACUUUUUUUUUGUUUUUGUGGCAAGAGCAGCUAAAAUCUACUAAUUUAACAUGAACCCCAAAUACAGUAAAAUGUUAUUCCCUAUAGUCCUCAUGUUGUACCUUAGAUCUCUGGACUUGCUCAUUCUGCUUUCAGUCCUUUAAUUACUAAAUUGUGAUCCUUGAAGUCUGAUUAUUUUACUUUAUAAAAAUUAUUUCAUAAAAUAAUCCUCGACUCAAUUCCUCAGCCACGGGAAAAAAUAAAGUAAUUCAUAGGUUUGGGGAUCGUUUUACUUUUUUG
rnacentral:lncRNA from 1 species